GAAGGUGGGAGGAGGGAGGAGGGAGGAGGAGAAGACUCACUAAGUCGUGUGGGAGGCGUAAAUCCAGUACGAUGAACCGGCAAGGCAGGCAGUAGUCACAAGUCUGGAUGGUAGAGAGGGAGUGAGAGAGAGAGAGAGAGAGAGAGAGAGAGAGAAACACACAGAGGAAAGGCACGAAUUUGUGUGUGUAUGUGUGUGUGUGGGGGGGGGGGGGGGGGGGAAGAGAGAGUCAGUGUGUGAGUGUGUGUGAGAGGGCAGGCUGAGAGAAGAGGCUGCUGCCUGUACUGCCGUUUAUCAGGAUGCUGAAACGAUGAGAGAUAGCAGAGGAACCCAAGCCUGUACUGAAGAUGAGCUGGGACCUCAGGCAGAUCCUCAUCGCUGUUUUCCUGCAGUCCAGAAGUCUGCAAGAGGGACUGCAGUAGCCGUGACCAUAGCUCUGGGAGUCGUACGGCAGGAAAACCAAAAAGCACUGACGCUAAUCAGGUGUGACAGGACCGUGCCUUCUGAGGGAUCAUGUCUCAGUCAGGCAAGGUCUACCACGUGUAUGUGGAGGUGCGAGACGGGGAAGUGCUAGACCCCUUGAUGCUCCAGAGGCCAGAUCUGCUCCCGGGGUCCCAGCGGACGUCGCCC
rnacentral:lncRNA from 1 species